GAUGAACGCUAGCGGCAGGCCUAACACAUGCCAGUCGAGGGAGAAGCCCUUUCGGGGGCAGAAACCGGCGCACGGGUGCGUAACGCGUAUGCAACCUACCUUUCACAGGGGGAUAGCCCGAAGAAAUUUGGAUUAAUACCCCAUAAUAUUAUUGGAUGGCAUCAUUUGAUAAUUAAAACUGCGGUGGUGAAAGAUGGGCAUGCGUCCUAUUAGCUAGUUGGAGUGGUAACGGCACCCCAAGGCUACGAUAGGUAGGGGUCCUGAGAGGGAGAUCCCCCACACUGGUACUGAGACAGGGACCAGACUCCUACGGGAGGCAGCAGUGAGGAAUAUUGGUCAAGGGUCGGAAGACUGAACCAGCCAUGCCGCGUGCAGGAAGAAUGCCUUAUGGGUUGUAAACUGCUUUUAUAUGGGAAGAAUAAGGCGUACGUGUACGUUGAUGGCGGUACCAUAUGAAUAAGCAACGGCUAACUCCGUG
rnacentral:rRNA from 1 species